UAUAGAAACAUAAAAAAUAUAAAAUAUUUCGGAAGAAUAUACGAAAAACAAAUCUCGAAACAAGUUCAAAAUAAAUCUCUAAACAAUAUUGUGUACAUCUUCAAAAAACAAGUUUCUCAGAAAUACAGAUGUUGUUUAGGAGACAAGUAUAUCCAUGUACAACCUUAUUCACAUUUCCAUAAAAUAUGAGUGUACAUACUUUCUCUAUACGGUCGUUUAAAUGCUCAAUAGUGGAAGCUGUUAAAGACUCCACGCUAAAUAUAGCGUGACAAUUACAAGGAUGAGAAAUGUCGACGUGUUAAUCGAGGAUUGAGUAACACCGUGAAAUUUCCAAAUGGCUUACCACCUGCAACGCGAUGUAUUAAUGUAAAUUAAUGGCCGUUCGAUUCGAUCUCUUAAGACUUGCGGAGACGUCCCGACUUCUUGCUGGUCGGAAAUCAGAGAACCGAGAGGGAUAUUCGAGGUUCAGACCAGGUGGACCAGGGAUAGUAUUUCUUGCGCAUCGAGUUUGAUCUGCACGUUCAAGGCGACAGCCGAGGAUAAUCGAGACGAAUGUUUCGUUUAGAAGCGAGUCGAUCGAAUUCCUGUGGCUUUGAAACGGGGGAUACGGAAAGAGAGACGUGGCCGAUAUGCGGUGAACGAUCGAAAUUUUUCUUCGGCUCGGACUUAACGGUGACAGAGAUAUCUGUUGACUGAGAGGAUGGAUGUUAAAGCGACUCGCUGACUUGAACCGGGUACAUUGAACUCAGCUGCCGCGCGCCGCCGCGCUGUAGUGCAACGUCGAACGCAUCCUAUGCUUAUAAACCGUAACGACACGUGGAACUAACGGACUUUGCCUGCAGCCCAUCUACACCCGCGGGAGCUGUUGCAGCUCUCUUCCUGUCUCACUCCACCAAUGACUUCCGCCAACUUCAUUUGGGAGUACGCGUGUACGCGCGAAAUUGUGACCCAACAUCGUAUGAUCUAGGUAGCAAAAGUCAUUAACUCUCGAUGGAUGUUGUUAUUACAGUCAGGUGCGAAGAUGAAACGGAACGCGCCACAGACAUCGGAUCCUGUCACGCUUCGAACGACUAGCAAUGGGCUUUGGCUUGUCUUCAUUGCUAUUCGGUAGUUAACGAUACUGAUGAAAUGUCUACUUAGACGGGUAAUAAACCAGUUUUACGAACAA